UACGUAGGUGGCAAGUGUUGUCCGGAAUUAUUGGGCGUAAAGCGCGCGCAGGCGGUCGUUUAAGUCUGAUGUGAAAGCCCCCGGCUCAACCGGGGAGGGUCAUUGGAAACUGGGAGGCUUGAGUACAGAAGAGGGGAGUGGGAUUCCACGUGUAGCGGUGAAAUGCGUAGAUAUGUGGAGGAACACCAGUGGCGAAGGCGACUAUCUGGUCUGUAACUGACGCUGAGGUGCGAAAGCGUGGGGAGCAAACAGG
rnacentral:misc_RNA from 1 species